rnacentral:rRNA from 1 species
CCCGGCGACCGGCGCACGGGUGAGUAACACGUAUGCAACCUGGCCGCCACAGGGGGAUAACCCGCGGAAACGCGGCCUAAUACCCCGUGACGCCACCGGAGGGCAUCCUCCGGUGGCCAAAGGAGCGAUCCGGUGGUGGAUGGGCAUGCGGCGCAUUAGCUAGACGGCGGGGUGACGGCCCACCGUGGCGACGAUGCGUAGGGGUUCUGAGAGGAAGGCCCCCCACCACUGGGACUGAGACACGGCCCAGACUCCUACGGAAGGCAGCAG